UCAAGAGAGGUGGAGACGGAAA
rnacentral:sRNA from 1 species